GUAGGUGAACCUGCGGAAGGAUCAUUACAGAGUUCAUGCCCCUCGGGGUAGAUCUCCCCACCCUUGUGUAUCAUUAUAGAAUGUUGCUUUGGCGGGCCGCGUUUCGGCGCCUGGAUUCGCGUCCAGCGUGCCCGCCAGAGGACCCCUAAACUCUGAAUGUUAGUGUCGUCUGAGUACUAUUAAAUAGUUAAAACUUUCAACAACGGAUCUCUUGGUUCUG
rnacentral:misc_RNA from 1 species